rnacentral:sRNA from 1 species
UAGCACCGUCGCCGGUCCUGUUCUUAGUAGUUUCAGUUUGUUGUCUCUUAGUUAUUCUUUGUUCUGAUUUUAGUUUCUCAAACCCUAGUUUCGUCGUCUCCUCUUCAAAUCUCUCUUUUUUGUGGUGGUUCCGAUGUGAUGACUAUCAUGGAGGAUGGGUGGCGGAUCGGUGCUCUUUGUAGUCGGAUCUAUUCCCCGGUGGAGCCGUCUCGUUUCUUCGAUCUAGUUAUGGAGGUUUGUGUUUCCGAUCUGGUUCUAAUGUCUCAACUAUCGGUCUUGUUCUUGUUAGUUUGAGAAUUGGACUUGAUUUGUUGUAUGUUCCGGCUGGUUCUGAUGUGGAUCUAUUGAGUUCUGUUCUUGGAUUUUGUUGGCUUUGCGGUGGUGCUGUCUCGUUUGGGGCGUGUAUUUAGUCGGCUUUUCGUUUCCAUGAGUUAGUUCUGUUUAUCCCUUUAGUAUUGCAGCAACGGCCUCUUUGUAUGCGGAUUCUUCUUCCGUUUUUGAGUUCGAGUGACUUCUAGGGUUUGUGUUUUGCUGUGUUUUUCGACUGGUUAUGGUUUGAAGCCUCAGGUUCAGCUUUUGGGUAGGCUUGUUUGACUCCUAGCUCUGCCUAUCUCUCUGUCCUCCUCUUGGUUUUCGGUGUCGUGGCUUGGUGGAAGGUUCUGUUUUGUGGGUUCUUCAAUCGGAUGCUAGCCUCCUAUAAUGGCAUCUACUAGCUCUCUGUUGGAACCUCUUUUGGUUUCCCGGCUGAGUUCUGGACGUUGUGGUGGGUCGAUCUCUUGUCCUUCUCUUUGCGUGGCGUAACCAAUCUUUAGUCUGUAGGUGGCUUUGGCUGGGUCUACGAAGGUCCGUGUGUAAGGAUGAGUGGUCCUUUUUAGCGUUUCCCCUCUCGGAUCUCAAGGUCUUCCUUGAUCCUUCGCCUUCUCAUGUUCAUUGGCGCUAAAGCGGUUCUGAUGGUUAGGUUCUGUGUUCUGAUCUUCUUGUUUCGUCGUCUUCGUUUUUGUUGUGGAGAUGGUUGUGUGAGCUCGUAUUAAAUCUCUUUUCAAGACUCCUGUCAGUUGCCUCUCCUCAGCGCCAAACUGUUCUAUGGAAGUGUUAGUCGGCGGCUUGUUGGGAAGAGUUUUCAGUGUUGUAGCUUUGGAGGCUUUAGCUAUUAAUUCUGUAGCUGUUAUCUUUGUAUCUUUUCUUCUAAGGCUUGUUUUGUUUGUUCACCUUUUUUGGCCUCAUGUCUCUGGGGGUUUCUAUGUACCCGCCGACUUUGUCUCCGAAAGGAUUUUUUCCUUUUCGGCUAUAUAUAACUCAAACGCAUCCAAUCAAUGAAAUCCGUCUAAAAAAAAUAGCAAAUGGAAAUUGUUCCUAAAUCUUUCACAAUUUUCCAAGUAUUUUUUCU